UGCAGCGCCGACCGGGAGAGCCUUGAAGGUAUGAUUGUUCUUCCCCUUUUUCGAAUCCAUUGUUUUCUUUCGGUUUGAUCAGAUUGUUGAUUGAAUCCCUCUUGUGUUUGAUCAUUUGGGAAGAAACCUUUUGUUGGAUUUUUGUUUUUGUGGAUCCGUAGAAGGUAUUGGAUUAGGGUUCUCUCCGGCGAACUGGACCACG
rnacentral:lncRNA from 1 species